rnacentral:rRNA from 1 species
UACGGGGGGGGCAAGCGUUGUUCGGAAUUACUGGGCGUAAAGGGCUUGUAGGUGGCCAACUAAGUCAGACGUGAAAUCCCUCGGCUUAACCGAGGAACUGCCAUCCAGACUGUUUUGCUUGAGGCCGGGAGAGGUGAGUGGAAUUCCCAGUGUAGCGGUGAAAUGCGUAGAUAUUGGGAGGAACACCAGUGGCGAAGGCGGCUCACUGGACCGGUUCUGACGCUGAGGCGCGAAAGCGUGGGGAGCAAACGGG